rnacentral:rRNA from 1 species
CGAGCGGCGGACGGGUGAGUAACACGUGGGUAACCUGCCCAAGAGACUGGGAUAACACCUGGAAACAGAUGCUAAUACCGGAUAACAACACUAGACGCAUGUCUAGAGUUUGAAAGAUGGUUCUGCUAUCACUCUUGGAUGGACCUGCGGUGCAUUAGCUAGUUGGUAAGGUAACGGCUUACCAAGGCAAUGAUGCAUAGCCGAGUUGAGAGACUGAUCGGCCACAUUGGGACUGAGACACGGCCCAAACUCCUACGGGAGGCAGCAGUAGGGAAUCUUCCACAAUGGACGAAAGUCUGAUGGAGCAACGCCGCGUGAGUGAAGAAGGGUUUCGGCUCGUAAAGCUCUGUUGGUAGUGAAGAAAGAUAGAGGUAGUAACUGGCCUUUAUUUGACGGUAAUUACUUAGAAAGUCACGGCUAACUACGUGCCAGCAGCCGCGGUAAUACGUAGGUGGCAAGCGUUGUCCGGAUUUAUUGGGCGUAAAGCGAGUGCAGGCGGUUCAAUAAGUCUGAUGUGAAAGCCUUCGGCUCAACCGGAGAAUUGCAUCAGAAACUGUUGAACUUGAGUGCAGAAGAGGAGAGUGGAACUCCAUGUGUAGCGGUGGAAUGCGUAGAUAUAUGGAAGAACACCAGUGGCGAAGGCGGCUCUCUGGUCUGCAACUGACGCUGAGGCUCGAAAGCAUGGGUAGCGAACAGGAUUAGAUACCCUGGUAGUCCAUGCCGUAAA